rnacentral:rRNA from 1 species
CCUACGGGUGGCAGCAGUGAGGAAUAUUGGUCAAUGGGCGCGAGCCUGAACCAGCCAAGUCGCGUGAAGGAUGAAGGCUCUAUGGUUUGUAAACUUCUUUUAUAGGGGAAUAAAGUGAGGAACGUGUUCCUUUUUGUAUGUACCAUAUUACUAAGCAUCGGCUAACUCCGUGCCAGCAGCCGCGGUAAUACGGAGGAUGCGAGCGUUCUCCGGAUUUAUUGGGUGUAAAGGGUGCGUAGGUGGUUAAUUAAGUCAGCGGUGAAAGUUUGUGGCUCAACCAUAAAAUUGCAGUUGAAACUGGUGGUCUUGAGUACAGUGGAGGUAGGCGGAAUGCGUGGUGUAGCGGUGAAAUGCAUAGAUAUCACGAAGAACUCCGAUUGCGAAGGCAGCUUACUAAACUAUAACUGACACUGAAGCACGAAAGCGUGGGGAUCAAACAGGAUUAGAUACCCGGGUAGUC